AACAGGAUUAGAUACCCUGGUAGUCCACGCCGUAAACGAUGUCGACUUGGAGGUUGUGCCCUUGAGGCGUGGCUUCCGGAGCUAACGCGUUAAGUCGACCGCCUGGGGAGUACGGCCGCAAGGUUAAAACUCAAAUGAAUUGACGGGGGCCCGCACAAGCGGUGGAGCAUGUGGUUUAAUUCGAUGCAACGCGAAGAACCUUACCUACUCUUGACAUCCAGAGAACUUAGCAGAGAUGCUUUGGUGCCUUCGGGAACUCUGAGACAGGUGCUGCAUGGCUGUCGUCAGCUCGUGUUGUGAAAUGUUGGGUUAAGUCCCGCAACGAGCGCAACCCUUAUCCUUUGUUGCCAGCGGUUCGGCCGGGAACUCAAAGGAGACUGCCAGUGAUAAACUGGAGGAAGGUGGGGAUGACGUCAAGUCAUCAUGGCCCUUACGAGUAGGGCUACACACGUGCUACAAUGGCGCAUACAAAGAGAAGCGACCUCGCGAGAGCAAGCGGACCUCAUAAAGUGCGUCGUAGUCCGGAUUGGAGUCUGCAACUCGACUCCAUGAAGUCGGAAUCGCUAGUAAUCGUAGAUCAGAAUGCUACGGUGAAUACGUUCCCGGGCCUUGUACACACCGCCCGUCACACCAUGGGAGUGGGUUGCACCAGAAGUAGCUAGUCUAACCUUCGGGAGGACGGUUACCACGGUGUGAUUCAUGACUGGGGUGAAGUCGUAACAAGGUAGCCGUA
rnacentral:rRNA from 1 species